GACGAACGCUGGCGGCGUGCUUAACACAUGCAAGUCGAACGGAAAGGCCCUGCUUUUGUGGGGUGCUCGAGUGGCGAACGGGUGAGUAACACGUGAGUAACCUGCCCUUGUCUUUGGGAUAACUUCAGGAAACUGGGGCUAAUACCGGAUAGGAGCUCCUGCUGCAUGGUGGGGGUUGGAAAGUUUCGGCGGUUGGGGAUGGACUCGCGGCUUAUCAGCUUGUUGGUGAGGUAGUGGCUUACCAAGGCUUUGACGGGUAGCCGGCCUGAGAGGGUGACCGGCCACAUUGGGACUGAGAUACGGACCAGACUCCUACGGGAGGCAGCAGUGGGGAAUAUUGCACAAUGGGCGGAAGCCUGAUGCAGCAACGCCGCGUGCGGGAUGACGGCCUUCGGGUUGUAAACCGCUUUCGCCUGUGACGAAGCGUGAGUGACGGUAAUGGGUAAAGAAGCACCGGCUAACUACGUG
rnacentral:rRNA from 1 species